rnacentral:rRNA from 1 species
CCGGAAGGAGCAGUGGAGGGAUAAGAAGAGAGAAUGCCGGAAUGAGUAGCGAGAGAAAGGUGGGAAUCCUUUCGGCCGAAUAUCUAAGGUUUCCAGAGUAAAGCUGAUCUGCUCUGGGUAAGUCGGGGCCUAAGCACAGGUCGCAAGACGUAAGCGAUGGAUAACAGGUUUAGAUUCCUGUACCACGCAUUAUCAGAACUGUAGGGACGCAUGUGGAAAGCACGAGCCGGGAAUGGAAAGACCGGUACAAGCG